GGCUUUUAAAUAUUUUAAAAUUCUUCUCUCUAUUUAUUAUUAUUGUUACUAUAUUUCGAAUAAAGCAUCAGCAUUCUUCGUGUAAAACAUUUGUCUUCAUUCAGGGACUUCCCCGUUCGAUGACGUCAUCACAAAAUGUAUCCAAGUAACGAAUGACGUCACCGUUUUGUGUGUACAUAGCAAGUGUCAACACCGACCGCUACUCGCACUUUUUAUUAAAAAUGAUGACAAAACAAGUAAGUGCUAUUAUUUAUUGGACGAUUGCCAUUGAGGAACAAACACGCGAUUGGUUCGGCAUGUACUCAGGUACCAAACUUUUUCAAACAACAAUCUGCACAGUCAAAUACUCGAUUUCAUAAUCAUUUCACAUAGUGUUUUUCUUUCACUGUCUAAGCCAUGCAUUACAUUUAAAUUUAAAGGUGGUAAAUCACAUUUGAGUAUCAUUUCAACAUGACCAAACUUUAUUAUCUGAUAUUGUAGAUAUCCAAGGUGCCUGAACCACGUGACUUUUUCGGCUAUGUGUGGGACAAUCGGAUGUAAACAAAACGUCGCUUCAGAAUGCCUUUGUUUGCGAACAGUGUGGCAGAGAGGUCAAAAAAACGGUCGGGGAUCUCCUAACACAAAGCCACCCACGCACGGACAGGAAAAAAGGAGAUUAAAGUAUUUUUGGAAGCACCUUCAAGAGACGUACUGAUAUCUUGAUCAAUGAAAAGUUGUCAUAUACAAACAUGUAUAGUAAAUGUUCCAAAGUUUAAAUGACUGUUUGAUUUAUUACCAGAUGGUGCAAGUAUUGCAGGGAAAGAAAACAAUCAAAGUAAACAUUACAUAAAAAUUUGACAUUUCAACAAAUUGAACAACAUUAUAUGAUUUAAUGUUAAUUACUUGGUGCAGUGGUAACAAGAUCUUGCAGCGCCCUUUCAUGACCGGGGCGAAUGAGUAUUUUCAUUAAACAUCUCAAACUAUUGUCAGUUAUUCAGCUUUCAUUUGAAUUUGAGUAAAUUAAGUAUUGAUGCAAUUCAAUAUGUUUGUUGGCAUAAUGACCCCCACAAGUCAAGACGUUUUGGCGAUGAUCAUUUGUUAUGACUUAAUUGAAGCAUUCAUAUGUUUGAAUAGCAAGAUUUGCAAAUUCAUAAAUUGACUGAUUACAAUUUCUUUGUGAAUACUAAUGUACUUCUUUAUGUAUUUGGCGCUUUAAUUUCUAUUGUUACAUGUGCAUGCUAGUUAUAAAGUAAUGGUAUUAUUAA